UACCGUUCAAUUAAUUUUGAAG
rnacentral:misc_RNA from 1 species